CCUACGGGAGGCAGCAGUGAGGAAUAUUGCUCAAUGGGCGCGACCCUGAACCAGCCACGUAGCGUGAAGGAUGACUGCCCUACGGUUUGUAAACUUCUUUUAUAAAGGAAUAAAGUGAGGCACGUGUGCCUUUUUGUAUGUACUUUAUGAAUAAGGAUCUGCUAACUCCGUGCCAGCAGCCGCGGUAAUACGGAGGAUCCGAGCGUUAUCCGGAUUUAUUGGUUUUAAAGGGAGCGUAGAUGGGUUGUUAAGUCAGUUGUGAAAGUUUGCGGCUCAACCUUAAAAUUGCAAUUGAUACUGGCAGUCUUGAGUACAGUUGAGGUAGGCGGAAUUCGUGGUGUAGCGGUGAAAUGCUUAGAUAUCACGAAGAACUCCGAUUGCGAAGGCAGCUUACUAAACUGCCACUGACAUUGAUGCUCGAAAGUGUGGGUAUCAAACAGGAUUAGAUACCCGAGUAGUC
rnacentral:rRNA from 1 species